AUGAAGUCUCCCCACACCCCCUGAUUGCUCAGCGUACCCUGUUGGAGCCCCUUCCCUUGGGCCUAAAGCAUGUUCCUAGUUAUAUCCCUAAUUUUCAGUUUGUUUUUGUCUUUUGUCUUUUUAUUUUAUUUUUUUAUUUUUUUAUUAUUGCUUUAUUUGUUUAUUUUUGUAUUUUCUUUUUAUAUUUCCUUUUAUUUUCUUUAGUUUUUUUAAUUAUUUUACCUCUUGUAUUGAUAAUGUGUCAUCUCCCUUUUAUUAUUAUUUUUAUUUCUUUUAUUAUUAUUGCUUUAUUUUAGUUUACUUUAUUUCUUUUAAUUAAUGCAUGAUUGUUAAUUCAAAAAGAUAAAAUUAUCUUUAAAAUUAACCUUUCAAAAAUACUAAAAUCAAAUGUGCUUGAUCAACAUCAAGUGCAUUUUUCAAAAUCACACAAAAACAUUUUCAAACCAAAAUCAAUCGCUUAACAUCCAUUAGCCUUCACAAAUAAAAUAAAAUCAACUCAUUCCACAAUCAUUUUCAAAAUCAACUUGGUCAUCCUUUUUUCUCGCCGUCGCACGAUGAUCAUCAAACUUUUUUUUAAAUGAAAGGUAUUU
rnacentral:lncRNA from 1 species